rnacentral:rRNA from 1 species
CCUACGGGAGGCAGCAGUGAGGAAUAUUGGUCAAUGGACGAGAGUCUGAACCAGCCAAGUAGCGUGAAGGAUGACUGCCCUAUGGGUUGUAAACUUCUUUUAUAUGGGAAUAAAAUGUUCCACGUGUGGGAUUUUGUAUGUACCAUAUCAAUAAGGCUCGGCUAACUCCGUGCCAGCAGCCGCGGUAAUACGGAGGAUCCGAGCGUUAUCCGGAUUUAUUGGGUUUAAGGGAGCGUAGGUGGAUUGUUAAGUCAGUUGUGAAAGUUUGCGGCUCAACCGUAAAAUUGCAGUUGAAACUGGCAGUCUUGAGUACAGGAGAGGUGGGCGGAAUUCGUGGUGUAGCGGUGAAAUGCGUAGAUAUCACGAAGAACUCCGAUUGCGAAGGCAGUUCACUGGACUGAAACUGACACUGAGGCUCGAAAGUGUGGGUAUCAAACAGGAUUAGAUACCCCAGUAGUC